rnacentral:lncRNA from 1 species
AAACGAAAUAUUAAUGUUAACAGCUAAUUAUGUUAAAUCCAUCAAUAAACAUUUGAUCUUCUAUUAAAAUACCAAAAAUUCUGCCAUUUGUAUUUGACAGAUAUAUUGCAUUAGUGCUUUGUCUACCUUUAAAAGCAUACGAAGUAUUGUUUGAAGAAUUCCCUAUUCAGCCCAACUUAACCAAAUUAGCAGCAAAUUUAAGUAUUGCUUUUGAACUUUCUAUACUGAACAUUAAAUAUUUCUUUAUUAAAAUUAAAAAGCUUCUAAAAAUUUUGCUCAAGUGUUCGCAAUACAUGCAUGAAGAGGUCGGCACCAUAUAUUAUUUUGUAUAUGUUAAACUCCUUUCAUGCGUUUUAUCGACCGUGGAAAGAGAUACGAUAGUGGAGAUUUUCAUUCAAAAACAUUUUCGUUUGCUAUAAAUAUACAAUGAGACAUUGAUAAUUGCAUAUAGUCUUAAAAUUACAUUCUAGCGGCAAAAACAGAAUUGAUAGAAAACGUUAAGGAUGUAGUUUCUCAAGAUUUUCAAUAAUACUUUUUAGAUCUUGAACAGAAAUAUCAAGCUUUGUACCCUCAUGACCACCAUUUACAAUUUCAUUCAAUAUAGGUUCACGUAAACCAAGGAUGCUCUCAAUCAAAGAGCCAUCAAUUAAAUCAGAUGGACUGGUCUCAUUUUCACCUCGAUACUCUUUCCAUUCCUUAUGACUCAAGCCUCCAAACGAAGGUAUAACUUUUCUAAUGUUAUCCUGCAGCUGUAGUAACAAAGGAGUAUUAGACAUUCCGGCAUCACCCACAAUCAUGAGGCUGCCGUCAACUGUUGCGCAUAACAACUGUGGUGUGACAAGGGAUUUAUCCUGUGGUUCUAUAAAUGUGCAGUGCCUAGUUUUAUUUAUCAAUUCACCAAGAUAGAACUUUUUGUACCAACGUAACUUUUUUCUAUCGGACAAUUGAGGAGAGACAUUGUCUCUCAAAAGAAUCACUGCGUUGCCAUCUGCUUCAGUUACAAAGUACUUUCUUUCUGACAAAAUUUCAACGGAUGUUGCCCACAAUGGAUGAUAGUCUCUGGCAACUUCUAUUAGUUGAUCAUCAAUAAAUUGUAGAACGGUAAUAGACUUCAUUAAAUCUGCUGCGAUGAUUUCGUCCUGAUUAACGGAAAUGUCGAUCGUAUAAGUAGGUGUCCUAAUAGAAUUCCUUACGUGCAUAGUACCGUGUUCAUAUUCGAAAAUACAGACACUGGCAUUAAUGCCGGCGACUAUCAAAUGUUUAUACAGAACUAAAGUGUUCACAGAUCCCUGGACCUUAUGUUCAGCUUGCAUUUCGAUAUUAUUAUCGGAAGUCAUCUCAAAGACCAUUAAACGGCCUGAAUCUGGGGCAUCUUGAUCUGGAAAGUUGAAACCUGUGCCCACAACCACACGUUUAUCAUCAUUCAUUAAAAUGAUACUUUCAACCAUUUCAUAUUCAUUAAACUUAUGAUGAGCAAUCUCACUUAAAGUGUUUUUUUCGUAAACUCUCAAGAAAGACAAUAAACGUUGCUCCUGUGUACCAAUCGACUCUUCUAGUUGCAUACAUAAGACAAAGUAAAACAACGAAUUUGAACAAAUUCUCCGCGGAAACCCUUUGACAGAAACAGUUUGAACAUUUAAGCUUCGAAUUUCACUCAU